CACACACACACUCACGCUACAUCCCUCCCGUUCUGUUGCACUUAAGUCCAGAUUAGCUCUGACCAUUCCUGCACGCAAGCAGAGACCAACACAACACCACGGUGCCUAAGACCAUAGAAACUGCCACAGAGGUGGGGGCAGAGAUCGUCUUCAAGGUUGCUGUCAUCUGGAAUUUUAUGUCCUUCAUUUUCUUUCACUCUGUAUGCCUGUCACAUCGGCUUAACUACCAGAGAAGACCCCAUUUGCCUUAAAGCCGGCCUGAUUUCUUCCAGCCUUGUUAGCUGAUACAAAGAAAGAAGAUACUACUUCCUACAGUCCUAGGCAGUACUCUGCAAGUCACCUUGGAGAUCGGAAAGACUGUGGAGCUUUCUGGGAAGAAACUUUCUUUUGUUUUUAUUUCUGCCCUCCAAGCCAUGUAAUUAAUGCUGCACAAGCACAGAUAUACAUAACUCUUACAAGUGACUUUUUCAGAAUCAGUGCCAAAAAUGCAACCUACCGUGAUUUGUGUUUUUAAACUGCAUAGCAGAGGCUGAUCAGCACUGCAUCUGUAGUCUAGAGGCAAACUCCUUUGCUCAUACAGGCAAAUUACAGGUCUGGUUGAACAGCAAGAACAAGCUCUUAACUCCUACAGGAUUUUCUCUACUGCCAGGUCCAGUUCUAUAAAAUAUGACCUUCAAAUGGAGGGGGGGAGCCCUAAUUCUUUUCUGAGUCACAUAUGCCAAAUUUCAAAGCUUUAUGCUUGGGCUCUACCCACAUUGAGACAGAUACUGCAUGUUACUCUCUCUUCCUCAUCUUCACACACUUUUAUCACUGAGAUGCAGUUCUACAUUUAGAAUGAGUUGCACUGAGAUGCAGUCUCUUUAGAAAGAGGUAGUCUGAGAGACUGUAUCUCCACUUUCUUCAGUAAAGUGUAGCCAUACAGACAUUACAAACAGUAUAAUUUCUUUUGGUCUUUCCUUUUCUUAGAAAUAUUGGUUUAUAAUGGGUUAAAAAUCUGCUGCUAAGCAGUGACCAUUUUAAGGUGUAUUCUUCUCCCCUGCUGAUUUGCCCUCUGACCUUCUGGGGGCCAGGGCAGCUGCAGACUUCAUUUUUACUCUAUUUCCUGGUCUCUCUCCUGGCUGUGCACUCAAUGUUUCCACAGCAGAUUAAUGACAGCUAAUAAUAUCUGAUAUAUCUGGACAUUGCCACAUAAUGAGUUGCAGUCCCACUGGGUGCCCAAAGUGUCACUACUAACAAAUUCACCAGAGCUGCACAUAAUUAGCAUGUAAAGGGAGUGAUCAUGCAGUAAAUCUGGAGGGGAAGAUGGAUAGCCCAUGAGGAAAAAAUAUAAGGAAAAAAUACUGUUCUUAACACUCAUUGGUAAAUGAAUGUUUCUUGCCAUGAAUAUUUUCUUGAUAACAAACUGUGGACAGGUUACCUUUACAGUAACAUUAUUCCUUCCACGGCUGAUAGGCAGAAUUUCAUUAUGCCACUGCUAAUGUUACAAUAUUUCUGCAAAAUGUCACCAUAUGUAAAUUAGAAGAGGUUAGGGUUUUCGUCUUAGUUUUCUUUCAAGAUGCACUGUCCCUUUCUGCUCUGGCCUAAUUCCUUCCUCUAUUAGUUUACAGACAUGCUAACAUUUCCUCAACCUUGCAAAAUAAAAACCGUCAUUAGAGGAUCUUCCAUCUCCAGGAGCUAAACAGAAAUGAAGAAACUCAACACAUGACAGAGGGAGCAAAGAUACAAAGUAGAAAUUAGUUUACUUGAUGAGGUUUUUAUCCAAGUAUAAUCUUUCCUGACAUGUCAGAAAACGCCCAAUAAAGAAAAACAGGAUGCAUGGACAGUGUGAGUUACCUGACCUGAUCUGGACACAGGUGAUCAGCUGCCUUCCCAUCACAUGCUAACUUGCUGCCUGCAGUCUGGAUGUGUGCAGGCAAAGAGGCUUUCCCAGGAGAAGGAGGUUGACAAAGAGCAGAUGAAUUGUCCUGACGGGCUGUACUCAGCCUGAAGAGCCCUAAACUGGACAGCUCUGCUCUAGUUUAAGUCAUUCAUUUCUCCUCAUUAGAAACCAUUGCUCACCAAUGCUAAAGACUUCAUUUUGGUUUGAGGUUGUGUCAUUUACAGGCCUUUUGCUUCUUUGACAUCUGGGUGGGAACACUUGCAUUUAUGUGAAUCCAGCUUUGAGGUUUAUUUGGGCAAUUGGCCAAAACGUGGUUAAUUCAAAGUAGUAAUAGUAGUAGUAGUAGUAGUAGUAUUUUGCUGAACAGAGAGACCUUUGCCCUGAAGGCUUCAGCCUUUAAAUUGUUCUUGCUCAUAAGGCACUUCUGUCAUUUGAGCAGGGAACGAAGUCAAAAAGGAAGCCUCACUUCAAAAAAAUAAACCCAAAUCCCAACAAACAAACAAACAAACAAGUCUAUCACAUGUAUAUUUUCCCAUGAUAAAUAGUUAUUUAGAGAUGUGAAAAAUUCUUAAAGUCUCACUCUAUUCUCUGUAGCUGCCUUCUGCAGAGAGCGAGCUUGGCCAGGAGACCCUUGUGAACCUCAGACUGAGCAAGCAUGAGGUGACUCGUAACCCAUUUUAAUAUCAAAAGCAGAAAUUGCACAGAGCUCAGGUACUAGACCCUGUUUGCAAUGUCGAUGAGCACUAUCAAUAAACCUCAGCACUUUUAAGAGUGUGAACUGCUACUCAGCAGUGCAGGGAAACACCCUGGAAAUAACAGUAGCUGCUCCUGUCCACUACUGCAUUCCUGCUUCUGCCAUUAACUCAUGGGCCCCUCAGAUCAAAGCUCUGAAAGUUUCUGUAUUUGCCACUCAUACUGCAUUUCAUGCUGGCUUGUGUUCUGUUGGAGAACCAACUUUCGGAGUCACGCCACUAUAGCUUUUAUCCUUUUCUUAAAAAGAAAGUUUCCAAACUGGAUGUUGCACAGAAAAGUAUAAACUCUAGAGGCUCAAAAAAGCACACAGUUAAUUAAGAAGUGAGAAUUUAUUUUAAAAAUCCCACAAGUUUUGCACCUUAGAAAGGGCAAUCCUACUGUUUUGGGGUUUUUUGAGGGGGAGUGGGGGGAAUAAAUUAAAACCCUUUAAACUCUUCCUAAUAACAAUUUUAAUUUUGAAUCCCUUGUUCUAUUACCAUCUCUUUGCAAUCCAUAUGGUAACUCUCAGCACAGUUACUCAUUUCAAAAUUCACCUUCCCACAUAAUUUCCUUGUAUACAAAAACCCCUAAAUUAACAAAAAAAAACCCCAAAAAAACAAACAAAAAACCACCAGCCCAAACCCAAGAAUGCUUAUACUGUUCACCUUGUUUUUAAUGAAAGAACGAAGCUCACAGACUAUCCUGUUCCCACAGGGGCCUUUUUUUAUGCAGUCUUAAUGAUAAUUAACUGACAGUGAUUGAUGGCCAGUGCUGAGGUAAUAGAAGAUACAACUGUACCAUUCUAUCGAAUUCACUUUUUCAUUUUUUUAUGAGUACUUGCUUAUUUCUGAGUAACAUCAAAUUAAUUAUUUGUCCAAUUUCAAUUUUGCAUUUAAAGUUCAUCUGAAACAUAUUUGCCCAACUGAUCUGUCACCUUGCUGACUGGGGUUUCAUACUCUCCAAUUUCAUUCUGUGUCAAGCUCAUGGAAGGCAAAUACUUUUGCAUUAGAAAUACAGGAAAACACAUAUAUUUCCACAUUUUGUAGGUAAAAGUAUUUCUACUGGAAAAUGGGCCCCAGAGCACUGAGGCCAUACAGAAUUUUUGAAUAUGUCCACGUGGAAUUUUAUUGAAGGGAGUAUGAGUCUUUUUUAGCUUAAUUUCAAAAUAUUGUUGUUAGCAUUGCAGACAUCUCUAGGGGUAUUUUUAUAUGCAGUGAACCGUUUUAUUACAAAAUCACCUUUGCUGAAAACCUCCCAGAGUCUCACAUCCAACUUUGGUCUUGUUAAAUCUCACAGCAUCUCAUACAUUGUCUAGAAUGACUACAUGAAAUGACUACAUUUUAUGCUUUAUUCUUUAAAUUCACUGUUUUAAAUAAUUGUUUCCAUUACACUGGUUGUGUCAGCCUGACAAUUUUGUAUAUAUAUCAACUGUUUUAAAAGCUUUUUGAAGAGGUCUAUUGCUUUACCUGGAAAAUGGUCCAAUUUGAAAUAUCUGCUACACAGAAGACCUCAUGUUUUAAA